rnacentral:rRNA from 1 species
UACGUAGGGUGCGAGCGUUUAAUCGGAAUUACUGGGCGUAAAGCGUGCGCAGGCGGUGAUGUAAGACCGAUGUGAAAUCCCCGGGCUUAACCUGGGAACUGCAUUGGUGACUGCAUUGCUGGAGUAUGGCAGAGGGGGGGUGGAAUUCCACGUGUAGCAGUGAAAUGCGUAGAUAUGCGGAGGAACACCGAUGGCGAAGGCAAUCCCCUGGACCUGUACUGACGCUCAUGCACGAAAGCGUGGGGAGCAAACAGG